rnacentral:rRNA from 1 species
UACGGGGGGGGCAAGCGUUGUUCGGAAUUACUGGGCGUAAAGGGCUCGUAGGUGGCCAACUAAGUCAGACGUGAAAUCCCUCGGCUUAACCGGGGAACUGCGUCUGAUACUGGAUGGCUUGAGUUUGGGAGAGGGAUGCGGAAUUCCAGGUGUAGCGGUGAAAUGCGUAGAUAUCUGGAGGAACACCGGUGGCGAAGGCGGCAUCCUGGACCAACACUGACACUGAGGAGCGAAAGCUAGGGUAGCAAACGGG